rnacentral:rRNA from 1 species
GACGAACGCUGGCGGCGUGCCUAAUACAUGCAAGUCGAGCGGACGAACCGAAAGCUUGCUUUUGAUUCGUUAGCGGCGGACGGGAGAGUAACACGUGUGCAACCUGCCUUGUAGACGGGGAUAACACCGAGAAAUCGGUGCUAAUACCGGAUAACACGAAAUGGCGCAUGACGGUUUGGUGAAAGACGGCGCUAGCUGUCGCUACAGGGGGGUCCCGGGGCGCAUUAGCUAGUUGGUCAGGUAACGGCUCACCAAGGCGACGAUGCGUAGCCGACCUGAGAGGGUGAUCGGCCACACUGGAAGUGAGACGCGGCCCAGACUCCUACGGGAGGCAGCAGUAAGGAAUCUUCCGCAAUGGACGAAAGUCUGACGGAGCAACGCCGCGUGAGCGAAGAAGGCCUUCGGGUCGUAAAGCUCUGUUGUUAGGGAAGAACAAGUAACGCAGUAACUGGCGUUACCGUGACGGUACCUAACGAGAAAGCCACGGCUAACUACGUG